UGGGGAAUUUUGGACAAUGGGCGCAAGCCUGAUCCAGCCAUGCCGCGUGAGUGAAGAAGGCCUUCGGGUUGUAAAGCUCUUUCGGCGGGGACGAAAUGGUUCGUGCCAAUACCACGGACUGAUGACGGUACCUGAAGAAGAAGCACCGGCUAACUACGUGCCAGCAGCCGCGGUAAUACGUAGGGUGCGGGCGUUAAUCGGAAUUACUGGGCGUAAAGCGUGCGCAGGCGGCUUUGCAAGACAGAUGUGAAAUCCCCGGGCUCAACCUGGGAACUGCAUUUGUGACUGCAAGGCUGGAGUGCGGCAGAGGGGGAUGGAAUUCCGCGUGUAGCAGUGAAAUGCGUAGAUAUGCGGAGGAACACCGAUGGCGAAGGCAAUCCCCUGGGCCUGCACUGACGCUCAUGCACGAAAGCGUGGGGAGCAAACAGGAUUAGAUACCCACGUAGUCCCUGAGCGGGCUGGCAAGGCG
rnacentral:rRNA from 1 species